ensembl:lncRNA
UUUCAGAUCCAAGCUUUUACAAGCUCAUAUUUUUAUUUAAAUGUUAUUGCGAUUUACCUUUCUCACUCACAUCAGCAGCUGAAGCAGGGCUGCUUUGUUACAGCAAAACUCAUAUUUAUCAAAGAAUCUGGAAAAACUGUGUAUUUAUGAACUUUACUCAUAAUUCAGCCGACAAAACUAAAUGAAAUGAAUCAAUGUGAACUGAACGAGAGCUGCCACAGGACAGAGAUGUGCUGAAAUACAACAGAGAAUAUGACAAUAAUAUAUCAAUAAUUUAUCUCAAUUACAUCUCUGGAAGCCAAACUUGUUUAAAUUAAAAUUCUAAACUCAAAGUAACAAAAUGUCCAAUUUACAGCGAACGCCUUGUCUGUAUGUGACACAGGGCUGAAGAUAUACCACGGGCCUUGAACGCAGCACAAGAGCUCUCAUCAGGUUUAACAUGAAGUCGACAAACAGAUGCUGCGUUUGAUGUUAUUGAUGCUUUUGGACCAAUAAAACAGUUUUUCACACCUGCACUCGGAGCGAUCCGAUUGGUCAGUAGGUGAGUUGUCUGGUCUUGAACGCGACCGUCUUCAGCGCAGGUUAGGGCAGUGGCGGCGCUCUGCCUGAACCUCAGAGUCGGCACGACGGCCUCCUGAGAGGCAGGACUUCUCACCCUCUGUAUGUCGCGCUGAUGAGCCGGCGCGCUGACGGCGGUUUCAGCAGAAACACUGAAACCUUAAACAGACUGUACGAUGUGAUGGCCGACCUGCUGCAGACAUGAACUCCACCUGGUUCCUGUGAGCUGGAGGUAAACACUGUGGACAGCCUUCCCGGACGUCCUGCUGGGAAUAACUAAGGAAACGAGGAGCAUGGACACGUUCACUUUCAGAGAUUAUUCAAAUAUUUCAUUCCACAAAGGCUUUAAAAUCUGAUCCUAAAACAGACUCGCUGACUUGCAUUGUAUUUGUCAUGAACUCAGUUAUUUUUCUUCUUUUAAAAGCUGCGUCCUGAAAUCUGUCAGAUCUGAUAGUUUAACACAGUCUCACAGGUGGAGGCAGUUUUUUAUACUUAUACGUACAUUUCAAGCGCUCAGGUGGGUCUCAGGAGUUUUACCAGGAUCGCUGAUUUGAGAGACUUGACCUGAGAAAAUGUGCUCAGCUGAUCUGAGGUCAGUGAACUGUCUGAAUAAUAAACCAGGGGCGGAGACCUGUCAAUCACAGACUGACCCGCCCACAUUCAAAACACUAAGAUGGAGAAAACGCUCCACUCACGGUGUGAUGUCACAGAUGUGUCUUAUUUUACUAAACAUGUAGUCACCAUGGUUACCAGCCCAUCAGCAUAUACUGCCCUCUGGUGGCAUAUCUGUGCACUGCACACUGUGUGAUGUCCUGAUAUUACCUGUCACCUCAUCAGUAUUUUUUGUUUUGACUUUUUUAGCCUCACUGAGUCAAAAUAAAACUUUUAGUUUUCAGAGUCAGGGUCCACGUGUGUCUUUUUACCUCAUUUAUUAACAGC